GAGCAUUGCAGGGCACCGUUUUGAGGGAUGCGCUGUCGAUGUGCCUCUGUGGCUGGUGUGAGAUUUGCCGAAUGGCUCGGGAAGUGCAUACUCGCUCUCCAUCUUAGAUAGCAAAGGAGGACAACAAAGGGGGCCAGCAUGUCAAGACUGAACUGCUAAGAUACUUGCUAACCUCUGUCGCUACUCAACUUGCCAUAGAAAUGGGGGAGGGGAAGCUUGGGAAAGAAAUGGGAUUUUUAAGAAGCCGUCUAUAGACUGUGAGAACCAAGGUCACAAAAGCAGAUGUCUGACGGAGAAGUGGACCACUCUCAUAACAAACUAAAUAAGUGUGACAAUGUAAACAUUCGGUGGGUGGAAGUUAUCGAAAACUAUUAUUAACUAACCAGAUUUUUGCGCAGGAAACUUAGAUUUGAUUUUGCUUCUUCAGUACUGAGAUGCGUAUUCAAUAAAGUUUAUCUUUUAUGGAA